AGGAGGAGGGCGCCGAGCGCUCCGGUGCGUGCGGGGAGCUGGAGCCUCGCUGCGGGAGGAGGAGGAGGAGACUCCCCGCCCCUAUGGCCGGGAUCUCCGGCAUCUUCAGGUGGGCCACGGCUUAGGCUCGGUACGUUUAGUUUCCUGUGGGUGAAGCAGAAGCAAGGCGGCUCUCCGGCAGUGCGGGUGCUGCAGCGGCCGGCCGGCAGCUCGGGAAUGCCCAGGGCGGCGCCGCGGAACAGACCGGUCGCAGAACACCGAGCAAAGAACGAGCCUGUAAAUUACGCAUCAGUAACUCCGGGGAAUUCCACGUUACGGGUUUCCUUCCCACUCAUCGCCGUUCCUUAAGUCAGUGUUUCGUAUUUUAAGAAAUAAAAACUUGGAUUUGUGUCAAGGUGGGCUUCCUGGAGAAAGGUGGUUCAAAUGCAUCUAGCCUUCAGAACUGCAGACUGCAGGAAAGAGUGAAAGAACAUUUAAAAAAUGAACCUAAAAAGCCAAAGUUUAUGUGGGCAAAUUGUCAUUUCUCAUUCAGCAUUAUCUUUUAUUGUUUCCAGCUCUUUAGUAGUUAAAUUUAUAUCUCUCCCCGCUUUAUUUUCUUUAAAGGCUGAUCAGAAAACAGUAGUUGUGUUGAUCACUAAUGAUAACCUAAUAUAGUUUGUUCUUAAGAAAAAGAAUUGAGUCAGGAUGUCCAGUUUAUUUUGCAGGCAAUGCUGCAGAGUAAAGCCAUUUGUGCUUUUUAAUUUCAGAUAAAGAAAAUACAUGUAUUUGCUUUUAGAGGACCAUAGAUACAUUUAAACUGUUAACAGAGUACAAAAAAACCAAAAGUGUUCUAGAUUUGGAGACUCAAUAACAUAAAUUGUUCUCAUGUGACCCUCUUAGGGUCUUGGAAUUCAUCAUAUUCUGUUCAGUCUGAAAUCUAACUCACAUUAUAUAGAAUUGAUUUUUAAUUUAAACAGCAAUUUUAAGUUUUAAAAAUUGACCUUGGCAAUGAAUUACUUAACAGUUUGCAGAUUGGUUGAAGCUCUAAGUCGGUUAUGACUUCAAAACUCCAACUGGGCUUAUGGUAGUCUUGAGUGAAAGCAAAGUUUGAACUCCAGUAUCAUUUGUGGGGUUUUGUAUACACAGGCAAGUGUUGCUGAUUGGUUAAUUUUACAGCACAAUGGUAAAACUUGCAUAUCUGAAAAACAUGAGACUUAGUUGUGUUAUCAUCUUCAUGAUGUUUUAAAAUUACCCACUUAAGCAAUUUUGCAGCAUUGGGCUAGAGCUUCAUCGUUAGAGACACACUGGCUCUUGCCAGCUGUCGCUGUAAUUUGACGUCUGGGUUUCAGGUUCGGUGUUGAUGGAUGGGAUUAUACAGUAGUCCUUUCUCACGGCACCUGGCAAUGCCCGUGUGGUACCGAAAGGUUUGUUGGGAUUCUCAGUUCAUCACACCGCUCCUGUUGCUUUCUGUCGUGAAGAUCAAUGUAAGAAAUUAUUUGGUGAGGUUUUGAAAGGCUGAGCUAUGAACUGUGUCCUCAGUUCACUGUCUUAUGUGUAUGUGUACUAUUAGCUGCCACAGAGAGUACUGGGGCUGCACCAGUGAUUGACUCGGUCGGUAGUGGAGAGACUGUCACGCUUAAUUUUAAGCACAGCGUGAUUAAAAUAGCAGAGCAGUUGGGGAGAAGACGAGCUGACCAGUCCCAUAGCUGAGAGCAAGCUCAGACUCACACCAUAUGGGUGUGAAAGAAUAGAUGAGGGUUUGAGUCGGGAGUCUUGGAGGCUAGACAUGGUUUCAUUGCAGUGGAAAAAUUGGCUGCUUCUUAAAUUGUCAUGCACUUGUCACUGAUAGUCUGAGUGUUCCUUAGAGUAUUCCUUUUAUAACGAAGUGUUCAACAAGUGACUUAAAAUGAUCAAAACUGUUGUAGUUCAGCCUGAUUAAUCCUGCACAGGAUGGGACUUGGAGUGUCAUUGCCACUUUUUGCCUGCCAGUCAGGCAGUCUGCCACAUGAUACCUGGCUAAAGCUCCCUUUCUGUGGCUGUUCCUGAGUGGGCUCUCAAAUAUGUUGCAAUGCAGGUGGAUUGAUACUGCUUGGUAUUCACUCAGAAUGAGUGGAUCAGCCAAAACUACCACAAGUCAGGCAAGGCCAGUGCCUACUUCUAGGAAUUUCCCCUCUCUUUCAUUCUUUUGUUUUAAAUUAAUUUUUUUGACCUUGUGGGAGAAGGAGGAGGGAGGAGCUGCCCUCAAAUGCUUUAGCAUGACUGGAGUAUAGUGUAAGAAGCUACUGAUGCAGGGGUUCAUUGCUGCCAUUUGCUGAACACAGUUUGCCAAAUCAAAUAGCCCAUCAGACAGGCUCAGCAUUCACUAACUCUUUUGUUUGUUGCAUGGUUGGCUGGGGUUAACUUAAUCUUGAAGAUUUAUGCAAAUAGCUGAUGUUUAGGAAGGCAUUCUCUAUGUACUAUCUUUGGAAAUUCUCAUAUAUUUGAACUUUCUAAAAUGGUAAUUUAUACUUACACAAUCCUUAAUGUGUUUGAGUAAUUUGAAAAAAUCCCCAAAAAUGUAUGAUAGAGUCAAGGACAUAUUAUGCUAAAUAAAGUAUAUUUUGGGUGACAUGGAGAAAUACAGGUGUAGGAGCAGAAAGAAGGAGGAACAGAGGAAUAGAGAUGGAGACAGGCAGACUAAAAUAUUUCAAACACUGAUGUGGGUUCAGUGGUUUGUAAUUGGGGCAUACAGGACUUGCAUCCUGAUAUAUUGAGGGAGAUGGACAGAUUGAUUCUCUGAAGAGUUUUGCCAGUACAUGCCAAAAGUUAAUCUAUGGUACAUGUGGUAGUAACCUGAAAAUAUCAACACAUUCUUGAAAACACUUGGUGGGAUUGAUUUCUAACAAUUCAGAGGUAAAUUAAAAAAACAUUACAGUGGUUUAUGGACAAAUAAUUUUUUCUUUUGAAAGGAAUAAAAAAAAUUCUGGACCUAAAUUAAUUCCCUCUUUUUGAGGAAUAACUGAGGUAGUCAAGGCCUCAUCCUAGCUAUUGCUCUUGGAAAGUGUGGAAAACAAUGGUAUUUUAUAGCAGUACCUCCCAAAAUUCAUGUGCAAAGUUCCCAUUGUUCAUUGUACUGUGUGAUCAUACUACAAAAAAGCAGUUCAUCUUGGAAGUAGUAUUAGUCACUUGCUUAUUUUGAAGCUCUUGGAUCAUUAUUUUAAGAACAUGGUGUUUAGCAAAACAUAGAUAUUUCUUUUUAAUCCCAAAUACAUUUCUUUUGAAUCUGAAUAUUCUAAGCAUUAGUCGAAUAAGUGCAUAGUUUUUGUGAUGUUAAUUUCUAUUUAAUAUUCCAGAAGCUAUUAAUAAAAUCAUUGAUGUUUAAAACUGAAACAUCUUCCUUGGAUAUAAUGCAAAUUGCAUCCCAGUAUAGUAGUUCAGUAAGGAAACGGAGUGCUAAGUCACUGUCUGGUUGAUCUGUAAUUAUUUCCUAUUCUGAAGCAAGUAUCCUAUUUUAGCCUCAUGUUAAACUUGUCCCAUUUUGCCUUAAAAUGUAUCUGCAUCUCCAAAUGGCCAGAUCUUUGUGUUUGAUGCUCACAUCUAUUUGCGAGAUUAAAUAUUCUGUUCUUUCUCAAAUAUCACUUCUGUUUGAUCUUGCAUAGCAUGUCUAAUUAUUUAUGUAUAUUAUACUUCUAGCAAGUAUGUGGAGGGUUCUUUUUGAAAAACAUUGCUUCAAAUAUUGUUUUUUGAACUUACUAGAAGUUAUGCUUAAAAGCAUGUUAGAGUUCAAAAACCCUGUCUUCCCAAACCCGUUGCUAUUUACAUUUGUGUCACAUCCAGUUACAUCAGACACACUGGAUUACAUUGUAUAAUGAAAGCCGUAUUGCUGUACUCUAAUCUUUAUCUCUUUAUAUCGGAUCUCCUUUGAAUUGCACAUGAGUAUUGCUUAUGGUUACUUAAAAUAACUACUGCUUUUGUUUCAAGGGCAGUGCUAUAUAUGAUGAACACUUAGCACUCAACCCUGCUUGGGCAGCAACUUCACAUCCUGUGUCUUUGGUUCUUGCAUGAUUUAAUUGGGAAGAUUGCACACAUUCUUUUUUUAUUUUUUCAUUUAAAUUUCAUAGUUGAAGAAUCUGAAACCUGUGAAAUCAUACAUGUUCAGAAAAAAAUAAUAUAUUUACCUGUGCAACUGUGCAGAUAAUUCUGAGAGAUUUGGAAUGUAUGCCUUCCUCCUCACAAAGCAGGUUAUAUACUCUUAGGGAGAGUGGAAAAGGACAAAGAGUAGGAGGAAAAUAAGUUUGUGCACUAAAGCUGACCUGAACUGGAGUUGGUUCUGACAUCACUGCCAGAGUAAUUCAUAGCCUUUAAGAGACUUCUGACCUCAUUUGAUAGGCAGUACAAAGAAGCAAUUUCUGCUGGCUUUGGGAGACUUGCACAUGUACAUACUGGUUAUAUGUAUUUUAUUUUUCUUUAAGUGAUUACCUAAGACAUUAUUCUGCAAGUAAUGCUUAAUAAUGUUAGUAGCUGCAGAAUCCAAGUUAGAAUGGCAUUUAGGGAGCACUGGAAGGGGAUUCUGCAUCAAAAUUUCCUCUUUUCCAGGGUAUCCUGAAUUUUUACUGUUGAACACACAUGCUGUUGUGGUGCUUUUAUAUAUGACUUCAUACAACAAAGCAAAGUGAAACAGACUUAAAAAAAAAAGAAAUCUUACUCUCCUAUCCUAUCUUACUAUCCUAUUUAGAAGUUAAACCUUUUUUAGAACUCUGUAUGGUCUUUUCCUCUCAGCUACCAUCUUGCUUAAAGAUGAACAAAUUCCUCAGGCUGUGUGAGUGGCCUUUUUUAUACUUUGAUGCUUAACAGAUCUUUUGAAUUUUCUGUGACACAUUGUUUUUCCUGCCCUAUUGUUUUGAGGAUAAUUGUUAGUCACAACCUUGAGGAUGAGAAAGCCUUCCUCCUUUAUUUAGCUAUGAAUGUGAUUAAAUUUAUUACUUUGGGAAUAGUUCCAGGAGCAAAAUCAUCCCCUCAGUCUGUGAUGUCAAACAAAUCCUUAGAAUGGAGCUUGGAUCAGGAUGGGGCUGUUCACCAUUAGAGGUGGACAUAACUGCUGUGCACCAUUUAGAGAUCUGAGAAAACUGGGCAUCUGUCAGCUAUGUGGCCUUGUUUUCUCCACAUGCCCUCUAUUUCUACUGUUUUCCUCAUGACUUUGUCUCAUCACCAUUCCUUCAGGUGGAGGUUACAGUCCCCUCAGGUCUGCUGGCAUAACUAUAACUGUAUUUUUUUCCUAUAGUUUUCAUCUCUGCCAACAUGAUCUUAGUUUACAUCUCCUAAUAGUUUUCUGCAAACCAAGAACAUGUUGAGGCAAUUAGGGAAUUAUAUAUACACAUUGUUGUGCUCAUUGGCAUGAGGAAAGAGGUAAUAACAUAGGGACCCCAGUGACUUCUUAUCCCACCUAUAACCAGAAUGGUCUGAAUUUUCUGAAAUUUCUGAAUUUAGGAAAAUCCAGUGUGAUUGCAUUAGUAGAUGAAGAGAGAGCAGUGUUGGUGGGGAAUAGGGAAGACUAGAAGGUUCUGUUUUCCUGAUGUUUAACUGUUCCACGGUUCUGCAUAGGUGUUUUUCAGUUCCCACCUUACUUCAGGUAAAUAUCCUUUGGUUUGCUUAUCACUCUCUGCUGUGUUCCCUUGAAACAGCCACAGUCUCUUCCAUUCCUCCCUGAGAAUCUCUGUCGGGGCUGAAUGAGGGAGUCAUGGAGCCAGCUGAGGAAACAGCUACUCAAGAGGCUGCACUUGCAGAAAGCUUGAUUCUUAACAUCUGAAAAAGACAUGAAGAGAUGGAAGAAGUCUAGAUUUAUUAAAAGAAGAGUUUGUAUCAUUUCCUUGUUGUUAAUUGUUAUUAGUGAGUGUGAGAGUUUUCAGUUGCCUAAAACCACUCAGGUUCCGCUUUUUCUAGGCAAAGAUUGUUCUUGGCAAUUGCCUGCCUCACUGCUCUGACACCUGCAAAGUGAAAAUCUGCUGCUUUCUCAUGUUAGAAGGAAGCAACUUUGCCAGCUAAGUUGCAGAGCAGCACCUCUGCUUCCAGACUGGACACAGCCCUUUGAAAUGUCUUUAGUCUCCCAUGCAGAUGUCAGGGAUGUGCAUUUUGCAGUAGAUGUUCAUAGUACAUCCAUAUCUGACCCAAAGGUAAGUAAGCCUCUGCACAGUCUCACUUCUCAUGUAGAGUCUUGGUAGAUCUAAGGUGAGUUCUCUAAAAACUAUCUGCAUUUCCUCUUACAAGCCAAGGAGGUUGGAAGUGCUCUGUUCAAAGGCUUCCAAGGCUAAGCCAGCAUUUCUUUACAAUUAGAUAGGAACACAGAGCUGGAACAGACCUCCCACCAUUCAACAACUAUUGUGGGAAAAUGUUAGCAGCUCUAGCCUUCUCCACUCCUAUCUCAAAAAGAAAAAAAAAAUACAGGAAUUAAUAAAGAAGGAAAACUACUUCUGAGAUACUCUUUGUUCUGCAGGCUCCUGAUUUGUCUUGAUGUUUUAUCACUGUGCUUUUUUGGGCAUCUGGCUUUCAGGAGAAAAAAAGGGAGCAUAACAGAAGCAAACCUGAGCCUGCCUUCAUGAGCACUGAAGCUGGUGAUGGUACGUCACAGCCGCCCAGAACGUUUUUGUUCAUAUUCUUCAAAAGAAAAAAGAAAAGACUGCUAUAAAGGUUCAGAAGAACUGCUAUGAAUUGAGAAUUGCAAGCUACAGAAAUGACAAAUUUAUUUAGAGAGAUUCUACCAACAUAUAUUUAUAUAAAUUUUGAAUUAUUCUAAGAAAGGCAGCUGGCAAAUAGUCUUUCCCCCCCUCUGUUUCUUUGAAUAUGCAAGUAAUUAUCCUGUUGUUUCAGAUAACUGUAAAAAUUUGGAGGGAAUGUAAAAAUAUUUGCUUUUUCUUCCCCCCCACAAAGUAACAUCAUAUUCCACUAUAGUCUUUUGUUUCAUAUGUUUCAUUAAACAGUUUCUUGAAGCCAGA